GAUGAACGCUGGCGGCGUGCCUAAUACGUGCAAGUCGAGCGAACGGACGAGAAGCUUGCUUCUCUGAUGUUAGCGGCGGACGGGUGAGUAACACGUGGAUAACCUACCUAUAAGACUGGGAUAACUUCGGGAAACCGGAGCUAAUACCGGAUAAUAUUUUGAACCGCAUGGUUCAAAAGUGAAAGACGGUCUUGCUGUCACUUAUAGAUGGAUCCGCGCUGCAUUAGCUAGUUGGUAAGGUAACGGCUUACCAAGGCAACGAUGCAUAGCCGACCUGAGAGGGUGAUCGGCCACACUGGAACUGAGACGCGGUCCAGACGCCUACGGGAGGCAGCAGUAGGGAAUCUUCCGCAGUGGGCGAAAGCCUGACGGAGCAACGCCGCGUGAGUGGUGGAGAUCUUCGGAUCGUAAAACUCUGUUAUUAGGGAAGAACAUAUGUGUAAGUAACUGUGCACAUCUUGACGGUACCUAAUCAGAAAGCCACGGCUAACUACGUG
rnacentral:rRNA from 1 species